CGUUGAGGUUUGUUACCUUCUUGUGGGGGUGGUCCUUGUGGCUUUCCUGGAUGAGGUGGGGGACCUUGAGGUUUGUUGCCUCCUUGUGAAGGUGGUCCUUCUGGCUUUCCUGGACGAGGUGGGGGACCUUGGGACUGGUUUCCUCCUUGUGGGGGUGGUCCUUCUGGCUUUCCUGGACGAGGUGGGGGACCUUGAGGUUUGUUGCCUCCUUGUGGGGGUGGUCCUUCUGGCUUUCCCGGACGAGGUGGGGGACCUUGGGACUGGUUUCCUCCUUGUGGGGGUGGUCCUUCUGGCUUUCCCGGACGAGGUGGGGGACCUUGGGACUGGUUUCCUCCUUGUGGGGGUGGUCCUUCUGGCUUUCCCGGAUGAGGCGGGGGACCUUGGGACUGGUUUCCUCCUUGUGGGGGUGGUCCUUCUGGCUUUCCCGGACGAGGCGGGGGACCUUGGGACUGGUUUCCUCCUUGUGGGGGUGGUCCUUCUGGCUUUCCCGGACGAGGCGGGGGACCUUGGGACUGGUUUCCUCCUUGUGGGGGUGGUCCUUCUGGCUUUCCCGGACGAGGUGGGGGACCUUGGGACUGGUUUCCUCCUUGUGGGGGUUGUCCUUCUGGCUUUCCCGGACGAGGUGGGGGACCUUGGGACUGGUUUCCUCCUUGUGGGGGUGGUCCUUCUGGCUUUCCUGGACGAGGUGGGGGACCUUGGGACUGGUUGCCUCCUUGUGGGGGUCGUCCUUCUGGCUUUCCUGGAGGAGGUGGGGUACGUUGGGGCUGGUUUCCUCCUUGUGGGCGUCGUCCUUCUGGCUUUCCUGGAGGAGGUGGACACACGGCAUUCACUGAAUAGUUGCCGCAAAUUUUUACAGUAACGCAGCUAAAUGGGGAAAUGCACAAAAAUAAGACCCAGACACUAAUUUCUUUGCAUUUUCAGUGAAGCUCUAGAACUCUGGAGUGGAAUGCUGGAGAAGAAGGAAGCAGUUGAGGGGCUCUCAGUCUAAGGAGGAGUCAGAAUAAGGACACUGGCCAUUUGUCUGUCAUCUCCCAGCAGGCACUCCUGGCAGGAGGGAAGUCAACCCACUCCCGUUUUCAUCUAAGCCAAGCAUCUCUGCCAUUCAAUUUGGUGGCCCUGCUCAUGGUCCCCAAAAUCAAGGUUGCAUGAAGAUUGCCUGCAUUAUUAGGGGGACUAAUAUUAAUCAAUUUCUAAAGGAAAAUGUUGGUGAGAAGACACUGGAGAACUGAUCCAUUCAUAAGCAGAAGAAGAUAGUUAAAACAGAUUGAGAGUGAAUUGGGAUUUACCUGAUAUUACGGAGGGAGAUUCUUCCUGGCUGACAUCUAGAAGAGAAGCACAGGAUGAUGGGAAAGGUUACAUCUCGAAUUUUGCAAGAUUCACAGGUGUUCUACAGGGAAAGGGGACUUCUCACCACACCCCAUGCAUCCCCUAGGUUAGCUCAUCAGCUACCAUCUGUGAAGCUGCUGGAAGGGGAGGAAGGUGUAAGGGGAGGCAGGGUUGUUACCACACAGAGCAACAGCCAUGAACUCAAUAUAGAAGAGCCCCUUUUUUUCUUCCCUAGCAUCCUUCAAGACUUAAUGCUAAUUUAGUUUACACAUGCCAGGUACUUCAAUGUGAUAUUUUGGUAUUCUUAUGCCCUCCAUCUCCUAUAAAUACAUUGCUUAUAUUCACAAGCUUUCUCAAUUUCGGUAACCAGAAGUAAUUGUUUCAAUACAAUCUUACCUAUACCACUCCCAGCACAUUGAAAUACUGUGUGUAGGGGAAAGAAAAAUCACAAUGAUUGAAUCUGAUAUUUCUAUAUCUGUAGUUAGACACAGGCAAGUGUUUUAUCCAGUUCUGUCUCUGCAGUAUCUCUAAUGUGUGUUUAUCUCCAUCAUCAAUGCUGAUCCACUAGGUAGAGCAAGGCCACAAUCAUCCCUGUGUACUUACUGAGAUCAGUUUAGGAUCUUCACAGCUGGACUUUCCUGAAUCUGCCUUGCAUUCACCACUGCAUCCUUCACAGCACAGUUCUAUCUCUCUAUAAAUGCAAAUCUUACCUUCUCAUUCCCCUGGUACAAAUUCUUUAUUGGAUUUUCAUUGUACAUUAAAUAAAUUAGAAGCCCUUGGUGUGGAAUGAGGGCACAACAGGUCUCCUGAUCCUAGGCAUGAAACCUCUGCAGCCCCAUCUGUGUUUUCAUUCUCCUCUCUUCCCCAUAAUUACAACUAUCACCUCCUAAGCCCCAAGCAGAGUCACCACAUCUUCUCCUCCUUCUGUCUUACCUUCAUUUAAGCUCUGAGCUGAGCUCAGGGCCAGCAGGGCCACCGACAGCAGAAUCAGUAGCAUCUUGCUGGAGGCUCUGGAGUCACUCCCAACUCUGUGCUGGGAGAACCAUGGCAGCUCCCUUUAUAAAGAGGAGCAGAACAGUGGCACCUUUGAGCUCCACACUGGGUGGGCCUCACCACCCCAGAGACUGGGUUCUGCUUUCCUUACUGCAGGUCAGGUGUAUCCCUUAUUUCUGUCUGGGACUCUAGCCCAGAGGAACAGGUUGGGUUGGAUGUUGUUUGUACCUUAUUUCUAAAAGGUACAACUAUGACUUGAACAAAGGUUUUAAAGGAACUGUGUCCAAGCAAUCAGCACGGUGUCAUAAUUGAACUUCAGACGUCAUUAGAGUUUCAAUCUUUUUGGUAAGACUAUUGUCCACUUUCAACUUUGCUAUUUAUUUCUGUGUAUGUGUGUGUGGGCAGUGAAGCUACAGCCAGCGGUGAUGAUGAUCAAUAUCUCUGGCUGUUUUUAUAGCCUAUUUCCAUCUCUCGUGAUGUGUGUGUACAGAGAGUAUCACAUUUAGCUUAACUUUUGAUGCGAUAGAGAUAGUUUCUGCUAUCUGGGAGAUGUUUGAGGACAGCACACUCCUGGGCACACAGAUGACAGAAGGCUGCCUCACAGCCUACUCAGGCUACAGCUAUUGUUCAUGCUUCUGUGGAUCUCACUCAAGUCAGGAAAGGCUUCUUGUUGUGAAACACAGGAAGGCCAAAAUUGUGUAUUUUAAAGUAUCUUUAGGGGUUAUGAAUGCAAAAUGGACACACAAACCACGAGGAAAUUUCUAGACCUGAGAAAACUGAAUAUAUAGUUCCUUGCAGGAACCAUGCAAUAUCAUGUUGCCAAAACUUCCUUCAUGCUCUUCCCUUUCUCUAGAAUAUUCUACAAAAUUCACCCUCUGCUUCAUUUCUUUUAAGAAUUGUAUUGAAUUCCUACCUCUGAUAAUUAAGUGGCUACAAUUCUACAUUCAAAUAAGGUAAUCAGAUACCCUCAUUAAAGCCUCAAUUGCAUUGUAUUGGUUUUCUUGGUUUAGUCAGUAUUUGUGUUACCUGUUUUCUCAGAUUGUUCUUCCACAAAGAGUAUUUUUUCUACAAUAUUCUGAUAUGCAUUCCUCCCUGACGUUCUUUCUGGUACUUCUUUGUUCAUAUUUUAUUUUCUGAGUCAAGCUCAUUUUGUGUAAUUUUCUUUAUAUAUCUGGCUUUUUUCCCCAGGAAUUUGGUAAGAUUUCCUUUAUUUAAUCUUCUAAGUAAUAAGCUAUAAUUCUCACCACCUUUGUUUCAUUCUUGUCUGUGUAAUUUCACAAUAAAUGUUGUGUUUCCAAAAAGCCCUCUCAGAGUCCUGCAUUGUUAGCACUUCUUUUAGCUGCUGAUUCUUCUGUUAUACCUAGUAAAUCCCUGCUCAUCAGUUCAUGGAAUAUACAGGUUAGUCAGUGAGUCAGCUGCCAUUUACCACUUAGACCUUCUGUGUGUCUUGUGUAAUUGUUCACAUUUUGUGCAUGGCUGGUAUUAAUUUGAGGACAGCUUGGCUGGAGGUAUGAUGGAGGUAGAGAGGGUAUGUGACAGUAAAUCCUAAAGACAGACCUCUUGACCAUUGUGGAUGAGUGGAUCCUGGACUGUGCAGAUGAGGGUCUGGUCUGGCCCUUCUGAAGAGUUGGGGGUAAUAGUACAGGAAGACUUCCUAAUACAGAAGGCUUUGCUACAGAUAACUUUGCCCUUGCAAGGGAACCAGGAAGAUUGAUAUUUUCCCUGGCAAAAAUAUAGACAUACUUGAAAGGGGAAUAUAUUAUUAAUUGGAAAUUAUUUCUGGCUCUAUGGAAAGUGGACUGGUUCUAGCUAGUCUUCAUGAGUUUUAUCUUAGGCAGAGAGUACUUGCUUGUGCCAGCAGGUCCCAUUAUAUUAUUGAGAUUUCUAUCUCUGGUCUCCUCCAUAGGAACUGGAGAUGACCAAUCCUGCCUAGGUGUCUUAAGUUAGACCAUCAGGUAACAAAGGAAUGUCAGAAACAAGGAGCAGCAGAGAGGCCAGGCCAACAUUGCCUGAUGUUGUCGCCAACUUAGGUUGCUGCAGGCCUGAUACAAGAAAGAUUUGUCCUUGGCAGGAGAGUAGAGGAAGACAACAGAAAUGCCCCUAAAAGUCCCUUAUCUCAGGCCCUUUCCCUGACUUUCUCCAAUGUCAGCAAUGAGUAAAGUGUAUCAGGAAAGCAUAAAUAUCAGCUAUGCACUAACCAGACAAAACAAAAACAGAAGUGAUGGAAAUGUGGAAAGGGACACUGUCUGUGAGUGAGGGUGGGUGGAAGAGAGGAGCAGGACUGCAGCAGGAGAUUGGGCAUCUAGAGGUGAGUGGCAGCCCUCAGCACUCCACUUGCCUUCUAAUAUCCAUGUUCAUAUUCUGAGGCCCUGAAGGAACAGUCUUCAACAUAUGAAAUUUUAGGAAACACAAUUCAGCUCUCAUAACAACUCCCAACCUUUUCUAAGUCACUAACAGGUGUUCAGUGGUUCAAAAAUCCUCACUCCCUUCAGGCACUGUCCUUUAGCAAAUUGAGUUGCCUCCACUUUCAACACUCAUCCCAAAUAAAACCACUUGCAUAAUCUUUACUAGAAGGUGAUAGUUCAGGCCACGAUGCACUCUCCUGAAGAGCUUAAUAUCCUCAGCUGCUCUUGGUAACAUUCCUACCCCAGCAUUAGCUCUCUCACACCCACACAUCUCUCUCUUUUUGAAGACUGGGAAGUUCUGUGAACGGAACAGAAAGCAGAAUUUUCCUCAACUUACUGUGCUCAUUGCAUAAACCAGCCAUUCUAAUAAUACGGUUGUGUGUGAGAAUUCAGAUUUGCUUGGAAUUGUCUAAAAGCUUCGGUUACACUGAUGUAAUUGUCAUCUUUAUAUUAUAUUAUAUUAUAUUAUACUAUAUAUUAUAUGAUAACAUAAUAUAUAUUAUGUGAUGGUCAUCUUUAUAUUUUUAUUUGAUGUUGAUGCUCUCUAAAUAUAUAUUUCACAAUUAUUUGAGCAUAUUUAUAUUCUUUCCAUUUAUCCUAGCAAAGGCUGAUUAUAAUAGAAAACACUUCUUCAGCAUUUACUAUGAUAUUCAGUCUUCAGAACUAUCAUAUUAGGGAGGUGUGAUUAUUAUUAUUAUCUUAAUUUUGUAGAUGAGGUGAUUUAGGUGCGUGCCUAGGUUCAUGUAAAGGUAGUGAGUGGAAUGGAAGGGAGUCAGUUCUCAGAUCUGAGUUCUUGCCUACUGUGCUUCACUGGUUACUUGGUCUUCAUUCAUUCAUUUCUUUACAAGAAAGUGAAAGGAAAUGAGAUUCAGAGAAGAAAAACAAGUUUCUCUUAGAAUAUUUUCAAGGUUAAAUUUUCCUGAGACUUUAACAGCUGAGGUGAGAAAAAAUAUAUUUUCCUGAGUAAACAUGUUUGUUUGAAAUCGUAAUCACAUUUAAAAUGUCUUCUAGUAUUCUGCUUUACCCCUUGCAUUUAUAUAAAGAUACUCAGGGGAAUUAAUUCCUUUUUUUCCUAGUUACAAAACUCUGUCAAUGUAGAUCCUGUAUGUACUUCCUUAAUCCAUGCUACAUGCAUUUUUCUUGGGUAGCAUAUUAGCAUUGGCAAAAUUUGUGUAUGCCCUUUUAAAUUGACUAAAUUUGAUCCUUCUAAUCACAAUGGAAUUAACAUUCUAGAAAUCCAAGAGGGAGUCUGAUCAGAGAGUUGUCUAAGAAAGGAUAAAUUGUACACCGCUUACACAGCUUUCAUAUUCUGCAUGAAGAUGUCGCCUGUGUCCUGGCCCCAGAGCUGGUGUACCAUCCUGAGUGGUUGGGGCUGUAGAAGGCAUUGGUCAUCAGCCUAAGGUCAAGUGUCUGUAGCCUCAGCUCACCACUGUUAUCUCAAUGUCAGAGUGUAUUCUUGACCUUUCAGUUACACUUCCUAGCAGUUCAUAGAGAAGUACAAUCACAACUUAUCUCAUAAGAAAUACAAAGCAAUGUAUAUCACCCUCGUAUUUUCCUGAUGAUGUACCAAGUCGGUAAGCUGAUACAUUUAAGAGGAAUUUCAUUAAAGUGAUUAAUCAAUGACUCACUUAUUAAACAGAUAAACCUGUACCUAUUUCUUACAAAAGACGUUUUCUCUUCUGCUUAAAAACCACAAAUUAUUAUUUUAUUUCAUUGAUAUUGAAAUCCACAUGUAUGCAUAUUUUUCAUCUUGGGAAUUGGAAUGUGUGGCACAUUGUGUUUUUAAAAGUUGAUCACGACAGAAUCAUUCAUCUAAUGUUUUCUUACAAUGGUACCUUGACAUCCUCUCUUGAAGGGGUGAGGUCUGUUUUUACCCCCUUGAGCUUCGUUAGAACUUCGUUACUGCCAUGACCAAUAGAUUAUAUCAGAAGUGAUACUUUAUGACUUUUGAGUCUAGAUCAUAGAAAUGCCAUGCAAUUCCAAACUGUUCUUUAUGGAACCUGCCACAUGCUGCGAGGAAGCCCAUGCUGUGAGACAGGGAUAGAACAUUCAUUUUAAAAAUGAUUGGAUACAAAAUUAUCGCUAAACAAUAUUCAAUAAACAAGUUUGUUUCAGUGACCCAAUUCCUACCUAUACCACAUAUUAUAUUUCUACACAUGCAUGGCUACAUAGCUAAAGAUUUAUGGAUUAUUCCUAUCUACCUUGCAUAGUGAUGUUUCAGAUGCCUUAGCUCUUCUAGUACUUACAAUAGCACUUUGAGGAUUUUUUGCAUUUAUGUUCACUUUUCAAAGGUAGAAAUAAAAUCUUAAUAUGAUUGAAUGACUUUCCCUUGGACAUACACUUCAUAGGUAACAGCAUAAUGCAAUGCAAGGAGAGCGACAGAGUGAGAGAGAGAGAGAGAGAGAGAGAGAGAGAAAUGAGAAAAUGACCUUAUUCAUGAAAACAAUAUAAAAUACCUAGGAACAAAGAGCAAGAAAUGCACAGAAUUCAGCUGAAGAAGAAUGAUCAAACUUUAAUGCAGAAUAUGCACUAAAAUGUAUAUACAUGUAAAUUUGUAGGGACAUGGAUGAAGCUGGAAACCAUCAUUCUCAGCAAACUAUCGCAAGGACAAAAAACCAAACACCACACGUUCUCACUCGUAGGUGGGAAUUGAACAAUGAGAACACUUGGACACAGGAAGGGGAACAUCACACACCGGGGCCUGUUGUGUGGUGGAGGGAGGGGGGAGGGAUAGUAUUAGGAGAAAUACCUAAUGUAAAUGAUGAGUUAAUGGGUGCAGCACACCAACAUGGCACAUGUAUACAUAUAUAACAAACCUGCACGUUCUGCACAUCUAUCCUAGAAAUUAAAGUAUAAUAAAACAUAUAUAUAUUUAAAAUAAAAAUAAAAAGUAAAAUCUUAAUGUGAUCGAGUGAUUUUCCCUAAGACAUACACUUCACAGGGAACAGCAUAAGACAAUGCAAGGAAAGAGACAGAGAGACACAGAGAGAGAGAGAGAGAGAAAUGAGAGAAUGACCUUAUUCAUGAGAACAAUAUAAAAUACCUAAGAUCAAAUAGCAAGAAAUGCACAGGAUUCAGUUGAAGAAGAAUGAUCAAACUUUGAUGCAGAAUAUGCACUGAAAUGUAUAUACAUGUAAAUUUUUGCACAGGAAAUUGCAAUAUUCAAAUAGGACUAAUUUUCCAGGUGUUCUGGUGAAAAUUGCACCACAGUCCCCUCUUCAUGUCUGAUUUCAGCUUUGCUCAUUCACAAACUCUUAUUUUUCUAUUUGUCAUUCCAUUUCCACAGUUUUGUUGUUUAUUGUCAUCUCUUCUUUCAUUCUCUUCAUCCUUGGGUAUUAAUUUCCUCUGUGCUUCUUUAUUUUAAUUUUACUGGGACAUUAGGAAAGAGCAGAAAUCAGUCCAUGUUUAUGUGUUCAAUGCAUUGUGCAUUCCAAUACCCUUAGUAGAGAGACAAAUUCCUUAUCACAGUCUAUAGCAGGUUCUACAGAUGAUCUUUCUGUUUAUGUCUCUUUCUAUUUAAGUGUAUUCAAGUGACUUUACAAGGCAGACUGCUAUUACCUGUGUUCCUAAUUUUAUCGGAAGAAUCUGCUGCUGUCUUUUCUUCCCUGGCUGCAUUAGAUGUAACAGGACCAUGAGUUGAUAAUCACAUGGUUAUUUUUUACAAUGUUAUUGAAUAAACAUCUAGCAACAAUUUUAAAUGAUGAAUACAUUUUUAUACUCUAAUAGUCUAACAAAUAUAAUUUUUUAAUAACAAAUGUCCAUUGUUUCAAGUCUGUUACUUAUCCACCUUUAGAACUGCCAAAGCAAAUCUCUCCAUACUAUUAAAAGAAUCUUUUGUGCCUUUUAGUAAGCAGACAUCAUCAGAAACAGAAGUUUAUGAUAUGAUACAUAAAGAGUUUGAAUUUAUCUCACAUUUUUACUAACCUUAUUUUUUAGCUAAACUUGGUCUAUAUUCACAUUUUCUUGACUGAAAUAUGCCUUUGUACAUUUUUAUUGAGCAAUUAAAGGCUCAUUUAACCAGUCAUCCUAACAACAUGGACAUAUGGCUUUUGUCAGAUUGGAAUGAUCUACAAAGCUUAUGAGGCUUGACCUUUGGGGUCUUUCAUGUGCACAGGCCCUUUUCAAGACCCUGUUUUGAGUGAACAGAAUAAAAAGAGAUGUAAAAGCUUCAGGAACUAGCAGUGGUCUUCUUUAUGCCAACUCCUUUACUCAAGCCUUUAUGUAUUUUUCUGUCUUCCACUGACCCAUGGGGACCAUAAGAUUUCAAGAACUUCUCCUCCCUAAAACAAACUCCAAUCAUUUGAGGGAUAUCUGAUUUUUUUUCUGAAAAGAAGACUUGAGAAUACCUAUAGAAGCAAGUUUCUAAAUAAUCUGAUUUUUAUGUCUACAAAUAAUAGCUAUCUUCCAGCACUGCUGUAAAUGUAAUGUGGGAUUGCAGAUUGUACAUGGAAGAAUCUGAAAAAUGUACUUUAGUGGCUAAACUGAAGGGCCUAUUGAUAUGAGGUAUGGCUUUAAAUUCUUGCUCUUCUACUAGUUUUUCCUCUGCAGAACAUACUCCCUGCAGAAUGGUGCCUUCCCUUAGUAUUUGUAGUGUUUCUACCUCUCAGCAUGGAACAAAUGGUCAAUGUUAGCAAUGGGUUCUUUCCUUUACAACUCACGAUGUGGUAAGGAAAAUUCUCAUGUUUGUUUCUGUCUUUUCACCUUUGCAUUCAUAAUAUAAUCAUCUUAAAUACAUAUCUACAGGCACUUAGCACCACAGUAAGUUUUAUAAUUUUUGCUUCAACACAAAUGUAUUGUCUUUCAGUUUUGCAGCUCAGAAAUCAGUACUGGGUCUCACUGGGUUGAGUCCAUGUGUCAUGGAUGGAAUUCCUUUCUGGAGGUUCUAGAGAAGAAUCUCAUUUUCUUGCCACAUUACCUGUCUUUCUUCCAUCUUCAAAGCUAGCAAUACCAGUUGAGCCUUUUGAAACUCAUGCAGAAAACUUGAGAAGAAAAGGAAGAUAUUUUUGUUAAUUUACUUUUUUCUCACUUUGUUUCUUUUAUUCUACAUUCUUGAAUUUCCAGAAAUUCCUUUUCUAUCCUUUCUUUUAGUUGAGAAAGUUCCAUCGAGCCAUUUUUAAAAGAUUAGUUUGUUGGAAACAAAUUCUUUUAGGUUUCCUUCUUUUCUUUCUUCUGAGAAUACCUGAAUUUCCUUUUUAUUAUGGAAGGACAGUUUUAUUGGACAUAAACAUCUGGUUUGCAAUUUUUUUUCCUUCAGCACUUUAAAUAUUUGAGUUACAUUCUUCUUCAUUUCCUGGUUUCUGAUAUUAACUCUAUGGUUAUCCACAUUGUGUUUUUCCUAUAAUUAUGAUGCCAUUUCUUGCUUGCUUUUUAAAAAAUAUUUUAUUUGUUUUAUUUUUCAGAAAUUUGACUAUGGUGUUGCUGGGCAUGUGUUUCCUUGUGUAUAUUAUGAUUGGAAUUUUCCCACCUUCUUGCAUUUGUAAGUCUAUGUCCUUUGCAAGUGUGAGCAUUUUUUGGCCAUUAUUUCUCUAAGUCCUUUUUUAAUAUCAUCCUCAUUGUUCUGUUUUCUGAAAUUCAGAUUGCAUGAUUGUCGCAUCAUUUGUUGUGGCCUUUCAUAUUUGUGAAACUAUGUUAAAUUUUUUCAAUUGUUUUACCCUGUGUUGUUCAGAGUAUAGAAUUUCUAUUAUUGCAACCCCUAAACACUGACUGAGUCUUUCCUCAAUCAUUUGCUUUCUGAUAAUUUUCACAGCCAAUAUGGUUUUUUCUUAAUUUUAGACAUUAUAUAUGUCAGUUCUGAAAUUUCUAUUUUAUAAUAUUUUAUAGUUCCUUUUUCUGCUGAGAAGUUUUUUCCCAUUCUUUUCUGCUGAGAAGUUAUUUCCCUCUUUAUUUUGGAAAUGUUCACAUUUACCUCAGAAAAGAUGGCUAUAAGAGCUGCUUUAAAGUCUGAUCAUUUCCAUAUCCAAGUUGUUUCAAGGUUGUCAUCCCUUGGUUGCAUGCUUCAUGAAGAAUUGGUCAAUUGUUUACGGUUUGUAAAAGUAUAUUGAGUAGUUUUCUAUUGUAUUCCUCAGAUAGGCAUUUUCUCAGUUUACAAUACAUGAAAAGUUCAAUAAGGCAAGCUUUGGACAUUGAAGGGUGCAGGCACUCAGGCUGCAUUGUGAUCCACCUACUGGCUCCACUGGCAGAUGGGUUAGUCCCACUGACAUUAUUCUACUUGGAGCUUCUACGUGGAUGAUUCCCCUUGGCUCUUAUGAGAUAAAAGCAUAAGUAUUUCACAUAAUACACACUUAUAAAAUUAAAAACAAUAGAAAAGUGCACUGAAUGAGUCCCAAGAGCCCUAUCCACAACAUCUUCCUAACUUUUCAUCUUUUGUAACCCAUUUGCUCAAAGCUCAAUUGAACUCAAGCACUUCUUUUUUCUUUUGCCCUACAGGAACCGCAGAGUUUAACAUUUGUUUCUUAGAUGCUAUCCCCGUAGCCAGGCAGCCCUGCUGUCUUCUGACUGGGGAUUUACAGAAUGCAGGAAAAUGAGGCAGAGGUAGAAAGAGUGACUAUACACCUAGCAUGCUGGCUCAUGACUGUAAUCCCACUACUUUUGGAGGCUGAGGUUGGAGGACUAUUGAUGCCAGGAAUUCAAGAUCAGCCUGAGCAAUGCAGUGAGACGUCCCCAUGUAUAUAAGAAAAUGUACAAAAUCAACCUUGCAUGGUGAUUGGCACCUGUAGUCCCAUCUAAUUCAGAAGGUGAUCUGGAAGAAUUGUUUGAUCCCAGGAGUUCAAGACUGCAGUGAGCCAUGAUUGCACCACUGUACUCCAGCUUAAGAGACAGAGCAAGUCCCUGUCUCUAAAAAGAAAUAAUACUAAUAAUAACAUUAAUAAUAAUAAAUGACUGCUGCAACUGAAAAGGUUUUUUUCCCCCACCUUGGCUUCUAGCCCCAGGGUCUACUUCCUUUCAAAUGCAUCUCCAAUGUCUAUGGAUUCUACAGACUUGCAGUCUCUUCCUUUCUUUCCCCUCAUGUGCCACUGUGGCUCUAUCCUGUAUCCUCAGCAAGCCUUCCCACACUCCGACAAAAUCAAGUACAAUGGUGAACUGAGCAAGUAUGGGCAAUAGAGCUAUAAAUAUUUAUGUUUCUACCCUCCUUGAUAUUUUUACAAUAUUUGGAGAUGGGUAUGUAGGGCCUUUAGUCCUUCUUGGGCCAGGGUCAUCUCAGCCUUAAAGGAACUGAAAUCAGAGUAGAGGAAAAGAAGUGAUAAGACAGAUGUGAACAAAGCAUCUUCAUGCAAGUAAGCAAGAUACAUUUACUGGCUAAUUCAAGCAUUGUAACCGCAGCCUAAGACUCAAAUGAAUAAACACUGAAUUUGAAGUCCCCCCAAAGGUGUGCAACAGCUUUGGGGGAUUUUUAACACUUUACCUCCUGUUAUCUGUGGAAUGGAGCAAAAACUAAGUGUUACAUGGGAAGUUGGUUUCAAUUAUACCACCUGGUACUCAGUUUACAACCAUUUCCUAAUCCUACUUCUUAAUGAGCUAUAUAAAAGGAAAAGAUUUAUUGACCACUUGUCAUACAUUUUGGUCAAUGUGCCAGCUAUUGAUAUGUGUUUUUUACAUUAUUAACUGAAGAAAAAUGAAUGCCUUUUACAAAUGUUAUAAGAUUACAAAACAAAAAGAAAUCCAAAGGAAACAAAUUAGGGUUGUAAUGUGCAAGCCUAAUGAUUUUCCAUCAGAACUCUCAUAUAAUUGCCCUGUUUGAUAAGAUAAAUGAGCAGGAGCAAGGUUGUGGUGAAGGACUCUGCUGAAGCUUUCCCAGGGAUUCCUAUACUAAAGCUUUGGCUUUCUCAAAGUAUUCUCAGAAUAAGCAGUUAUUGUCAUUCUCCAGAAAGUCAACCAGCAAAAUGACUUGAGCUUUCCAAUAAACUCUUGCCAUGACCUUUGUGCUCUCCUCAUCCACUUUUGUUUUGACUGGACUUUUCCACUUCUUGGUAGCCAUUGCAUUGAUUGUAUUUGUUUUCAGGAUUUUACUGGUAAAGCCAUGCGUUAUCUCCUCUUAUAAUUCCUUGAAGAAAUGCUUACAGUCUUCAUUGCUCCUAUUUAAAUUUUUUAGGGAAACUUCUGCUCUUGUCUGUACUUCAUCUUGGUGACACAGUUUGGGCAUCCAUCAAGUGAAAAGUUUACUAAACUUUAAUCAUUCAGUUAGAAUCAUGUAAACUGAACCAACUGAGAAGUCUGCAAUGUUGGCUAUUGUGUGAACUGCUAAUCAUCACACAUCUUCUCCUGGGUAUAAAGAAGAUGAAUUUAUUCCUUGCAAUAUGAUGUGAAUCAUCUGUCACUGUAGACUUUAGGUUCAACAUUGCCUCAUUCCUUCCUGAAAUGAGGAACUCCUCAUUGAAUUUGUGAACUGCUGACUUCUUCAACCAAUGUCAACUUACCAUGUGCCAAGUAGGACAACUUUUUGGACACCAUCAAUGAUUUCAUCUUCUUCCACCCAAGCUUCACCAUAAAUUUGAUGUUUUUACUCACUUUACUUUUAGAAGAAUUCAUGUUGCUCUUCUAGGAGCUCUUUUGAAACUGCUCUCUUAUUUUUCUUGAUGCCUCAAACUAGCUCGUGUUCAGACAUGUUAUAGCAAAACAUUAUGAUUUCAUUUUGGUGCCAAAAAACUUGGAAUCCAUUCAUGGUAUUUCUUAAUAGAAUAUACAUUUUCCAUUAACAUUUUAACAACCCACUGCAUAUAGGAAGGCGUCCUGAUACAACAAGCUCUACUACAGGUAACUUAGACUUUUCCAGCUGACUAGGCAGAUUGGUUUCUUGUUUUUCUCCUAGCAUAAAUAGGAAUGUUUUCUGAAGGUGGAAUAUAAUACCAAUGGCCAAAUUUUCUCCAGCUACAUGGAAAGUUUAACAUUUGUAAGUAAGAGUCACAUGCUUUAAUAGAGACACAGAGUGCUUGGGCCAACCUGGUGUCCUGAUCUUAUUGAAUGAUUUUCUCUGGUUUCACCAAACAUUAUUUGGAAAGAUAAGCUGGCGAUGAGCAGUCUGGCCUAGGUAGCUUACGAUGGCCCAUCAGGUAGGGAAGAAACACAAGAGAGAAGAAGCAGAGAGGAGUGCCAGGCAGAUGUGCCUCCUUGUGGGAGUCAAUAGUCCUGGUUGGAGGCAGGCUUCUUUUUGUCUACUGAGUACAGCAAGCCAAGAGGUGAUGCUUCCAAAUAUCACUCUGCUCACACCCUAUUCAUGACCUUCUCCUAUGUCAGAAAUGCAUGAAAGAGAUUAGCAUAUCAGGAAGGAGUAAAUAUCAGGUAUCAAGCUACCAGAGACAACCAAAACAGAGGUUACCAAAGAACUGAAGGAGACAGUGUCACUUAGGAUGAGGUCAAAGCAAGGAGCAGGACUGCAACAGGAGCUUAGGCACUUGUCCAUGAGUCAAGGACCUCAGUAAUCCACUUGCCAUUUAAAACAAAUGUAAAUUUACCAUGUGCCAAGCAGGACUCUUGAUUUCUACUCCUAAAACCUGCUCUCCCCUGAAUUUCUUCAUCAUAGCCGUCAAAACAAAAUAUCACAGACUAGGUAUUCUUAAGCAAUAGAAAUUACUUUCCAACACUUCUGGAUGCUCAAGUUCCAUGAGGAAGGUGUCAGCAGGUUUAGUUCUUCUGGGCUGUGUCUGCUUGGCAUCUAGGUAUCUGCCUUCUUGCUGUGUCCUUCCAUGGAUGUGUAUGUACUUCCUGUGUCUCUCUCUACAAAUUUCCAGUUCUUAUAAGGAAUUUCCACUUCUUAUAAGGACAGCAAUCUUAUUGGAUUUAGUUCCACUGAAACUCCAUCAUUUCAGCUUGAUAACCUCUUCCUAGGGCUGUUUUCUAAACACAAUCAUAUUCUAAGGGACAAGAAGUUGGUUGUGGAUUUUUGUAUACCUAUGCCUAUCAUAUUUUGCUAAAUAUUUGAUUAUAUAGAGAUUAUUUCUUUGGAACUUUGAGCUGUGUGAAGACAACACAAACCUGGCCAUUCAUGGCUGACAGAAGGUUGGCCCUCAGCCUGGUCAGACCCACACAGAUUGUCUAAUAUUCUUUGAUCUGGCUCUAGUCAGAAAAGUCUUGGUGUUGUAGAAUACAGGUGUCUUCACGCAUUGUAUUAUUAAUAUUCAUGGGGAGGUUAAAACAAAGUUGGCCCCGAAAACUACCAAGGGGUUCUAGAAUGAACAGAAUGAAUACACAGUUCUUAAAGGGGACAUCCUAUUUUGUCUUUAAAUUUUUUUCCUUGCUCUACCCCUUUGUUAGAAUGUUUGAUCAGAUUCAGUUUGGGAUUUACAUCUUUUAGGAAAUUUUGUUUUUUAAUAUAGAUUCUCGCUCUGUCACCCAGGCUGGAGUGUGGUGUCAUGAUCCUGGCUUACAGCAUCCUUGAACUCCUGUGCUCAGGGGAUUCCCCCCGCUUCUGCCUCUUGAGUGGCUUGAAUUACAGGUUCAUGACACCAUGUCCGUUUAUUUUUUGUUUGUUUGUUUUAAACUUUUCUUGAAGAGAUGGAGCCUCACUUUGCUCAGGCUGGCCUUUUUUUUUUUUUUUUUUUUUUUUUGGAGACGGAGUCUCACUCUGUCCCAGGCUGGAGUGCAGUGGCGCAAUCUCUGCUCACUGUAAGCUCCGCCUCCUGGGUUCACGCCAUUCUCCUGCCUCAGCCUCCUUAGUAGCUGAGACUACAGGCGCCCACCACCACGCCCGGCUAAUUUGGUUUUGUAUUUCUAAUAGAAACGGGGUUUCACUGUGUUAGCCAGGAUGGUCUCGAUCUCCUGAUCUCAUGAUCUGCCCGCCUCGGCCUCCCAAAGUGCUGGGAUUACAGGCAUGAGCCACCGUGUCCGGCCUGGUCUUGAACUUCUGGCCUCAAGGGAUCCUCACACCUCACUCUUCCAAAGUCCUGCGAUUAUAGGCAUCAGUUGCCACAUUCAGCCUUUCUUCUAGGAAAAAUUUUUAAUCACUCCCAAUUAAAAUGCGUGGUCACAAUUAUAUGCUUAAAUAAGAUGGUCUGGCACCCACAUAAAAGCCUCAAGAGUAUUGCAUUGAUCUAUUUCUUAGAGCCUGUGAUAUCUGUCUCCCAGACUGUUCUUUCACACAGAAAUUUUUUUCAUUUUUGCAAUAUUCUGAAACUAAUUUCUUCCCAGUCUCUUUCUAAAAUGUAUUUAUUGAAAUUUUGUGUUCUAAAUCAAUCUUGCCUGUGUUUACUUUUCAUCUUAUAUCUGACUUCUUUUUAAAUGAAAUUUGGGAAAAUUUUUAAAUCUAAUCUUCUAAGUAACCAUCUAUAUUUCUUGUUACUCCUUUAUUUUUCUUUUUGUUUUUAAAAUUUGCAUCAAUAUACUGUGUUUCCAAGGUCUUUUUACUGAGGUUCUGUUGGUAGCUCUCUUUUCAUCUGCUGACUUUUCUGUUAUAUCAAGUAGUUCCUGCCCAUCCUUUCAUCCUUUUCAUGGAAAGCGUAGGUGAGUCAGUAUCAACAGCUGCCACUUAUCAUUUCAGGCUUUGAAUAAGUCUCGUGCUGUCAUUCAGUUUUUGUUCAGGGAUAGUGAUAACUUCGGGAUGGCCAUGUUAGAAGUAAUGAGUAGGGGGAUGUGACUGGAAAUCCUAAAGACAAACUGCUUGAUCAGUUGGAUGAGGGGAUCCUGUGUUGUACACAUAAGAAUCUGUUCCUGCCCUUCCAGAAUGGUUUGAGAAUAAAAGGGGAUUUCAAAAAGUUUGUGGAAGAAUAUAAUUACAAUAUGAAAGUAGACAUUAUGUAAACUUUAUUUCUUAACGUAAGCUCCAUCACAUUCAAGAAGUUUAGCAAGUAAUGAUACAAGUAAUUUAGCCUAUCUAUAAAAAUUGACGAUCCUGAAAUUAGUUUCAGAAUGCAGUCUUUUCACAUCAUUAACUGAAGAAAACAGAGUACACUUUAAAAAUAUUUCAAUAUUAGAAAAAAAAUCUGAAGUCCAAAGAUACUGCAUCAGAACUGUAAGUUGGGUGCCUAGGGAUUUUCUUUUUUUUUUUUUUCUUUUUUGUUUUAUUUACAUAGCUUGGGGAACAGGUGGUGUUUGGUUAUGUGAAUCAGUUCUGCAGUGGUGAUUUGUGAGAUUUUGGUGCACCCAUCAUCCGGGCAGUAUACACUGCACCCAGUGUAUAAGAGAGAGGUAAAAGUGACGUCUUUUACCCCUCUCCCCUUUCCCACUCUUUCCCCCUGAGUUCCCAAAGUCCAUUGUGUCAUUCUUAUGCCUUCGCAUUCUCAUAGUUUAGCUCCGAUUCAUGAGUGAGAACAUGCGAUGUUGGCUUUUCCAUUCCUAAGUUGCUUGACUUAGAAUGAUAACAUCAACUUAUGAGAGAGUAUGGAGUAAGUUAGCCAAAACUUUAGCAGGGAAAUGCCCGGAAAAGCUUUAGCAGAGAGUUCUUAUCCAUCACAACAAUGCUCCUGCUCAUUUCUCUCAUGAAACAAGGGCAAUUUUGCCAGACUUAUGAGGGACAUUCACUAGGCAUCCAAUCUCAUCCAUUUAUCUGCUAAAGAUUUGGCUAACUUUCUCCAAACUCCAAACUUAUAAGCUGAUGUCGUCAUCUUUGACCCUCCAGAAAGUUAACAAACAAAAUACCUCGAACAUCCAAAAAUACCGUUGACAUGAUGUUUGCUCUUGUCGCAUUUAUUUAGACUAGACCACUUCCACCUCUUGGUAGCCAUUGCUUUGAUUGUGUUUUUCCUUUAGGAUGGCACUGGUAAAGCCAUGUUUGAUUUCCUGUUACAACUCUCCAAAGAAAUGCUUUAGGAUCUUUUCUUUUCUUUUCUUCUACUUCCUACUUCUUUAAUUUUUCAUUGAACCUUCUGUUCUUCUCUGUAGCUGACUCAGGUACAGCAGUUUUGGCCAUCAUCAAGUCGAUAGUUUGCUCAACUUUAAUUUUUCAGCCAGAAAAAAAUUUAUGUAAUCUGAACCAAUUGACAGUCUUCUUGUGCUAGCCCUUUUUUCUGCUGUUAACUGUGAGGUCUCUUCAAUUGGAAUAAAAGAAGAUAAAAUUUUUGCCCAUAAGUUGCUGUGUAUGGUCUGCUGCUGCAGAGUUCAUCUUCACCAUCAUCUAGUCAAUUCUUAAAAGGAGUUAUCCAUUUGUGAAGGGCUGAUUUACUUGGGCACAAAUAUUUCAUGAUGCAUCAGUGAUUUCACCAUCCCUCCGCCCAAGCUGCAUCAUAAACUUGAUAUUUGUUCUUGAUACAAUUUUAGUAGAAUAUUUGUUGAUCUGAUAGAAGUUGUUUUCAAACUGCUGUCUCAACCAUGUUAGUGACUGAACUAUAUCCUUUUCAGACAUGUUGUAACAAGUUAGUAAAAAUGUAUUUUGGUAUGAAAAAUGUUUGUAUCCCUGCAUAAUUUUAAAAAAUAAUAUAUAUUUUCCACAAACAGUUUGAAGAUGCCUUAUAUUACUGGAAGUUGUCCUCAUACAAUGAAGUUUGUUGCUGAUUACUCUGCCAUUGGCUGGUGAUCAGGCAGAUUGUUGUUUUCCUCCCUCACCCCUUCUGGAAUAUUAGGGAUGUUUGCUAAGAGGAAAUAUAUUACCAGUUAGCAAUUCUUCUUUGGCUAUGCAAUAAUAAAACAAUUGUAGCUUGGCUUUAUGUGCUUUAUGGGAGGCACAGAAUAGUUGCCUGGCCUAGCAGGUACCCUAAUGUUAUUGGGAUGAGUGUCACUACAUUCCACACACACUAAUUGGACAGGGAAACUGGAGAUGAAUGUUCCUGCUUAGUGACUUAUGCUGGACCUUCUAAGUAGGAAAGGAAGAUCAGAGGGCAGGCACAGAGGGAAGUGCCAUGCAGACUUGCCUCGUUGCAUAGGUUCCUGUAGAAGUGAUAGUCCUGGUGAAAGAAAGGCUCCCCCUUGUCUUGGUGAAUACAGGAAGACAGCAAGCAUUGCCUUCAAAUAUCACUCAGCUCACGCCCUUUCCCUGACAUUUUCCAAUGUCAGCAAUGAGUGAAAAAGAUUAGUGUAUUAGAGAAGAAUAAAAAUCAGCUAUGAACUCUCCAGACACAAAUAAAACAGAGGUGACAGAAGAGCUGAAAGAGACCCUGUCAGUGAGUGAGGAUGGGGUCAAAGUGAGGAGCAGGACUGCAACAGGAGCUCAGGCACCUUUCUGUCAGUUGAAGCUCUCAACAAUUUGCAUCAAUAUACUGUGUUUCCAAGGUCUUUUGGGUUGGGAACCAACCCAAAUGUCCAUCAAUGAUAGACUGAAUUAAGAACACGUGGCACAUAUACACCAUGGAAUACUGUGCAGUGAUAAAAAACGAUUAGUUCAUGUCCUUUGUAGCGACAUGGAUGAAGCAGGAAACCAUCAUUCUGAGCAAACUAUCACAAGGAAAGAAAACCAAACACCAAAUGUUCUCACUCAUAGGUGGGAAUUGAACAAUGAGAACACUUGGACACAGUGUGGGGAACAUCACACACCAGGGCCUGUUGUGUGGUGGGGAGAUGGGGGAGGGAUAGCAUUAGGAGAAAUAUCUAAUGUAAAUGAUGAGUUAAUGGGUGCAGCAAACCAACAUGGCACAAGUAUACAUAUGUAACAAACCUGCACAUUGUGCAAAUGUACCCUAGAACUUAAAGAAU
rnacentral:lncRNA from 1 species